UUCUCGUUGGUGUCGUGUUGGCACUGGCUGUCGGCGGCAGGAGGGUUCAGGAAAGGAAGCUCCUCGUCACAAUCCUGCACCUUCAGGACCAGACGGUCCAGGUCCAAGCAGCACUGCAAGAGGACAGAAAUACAAGGCGACAACUCCUGAGGAGCGAGAAUAUUCCUGACAGAUGGACUAAGUUCUGGACCAGAGUUUUGACAGUGUUCCAGGAGAUGAUCCCAGUUCAUUAAUGAACUUCUGAGAGCCUGACCUCUGUAAUCAGCUGUAAUGGCUGUUGACAAACGUCUGAUUGGUCUGAUUCAUCCAACAAACGCCGAGGUGGAGGAGAGGUCAGAAAAAUUACACCACCGUCCGGAGUGGCCAGAGGGAAGGACCAGAGGGCGGCUUCACGUAACCAUGGCAACGGUUUAGCAGUGAGGGAAAAAAAUGGCAGUCUGGAUACAAACUGUGGCCCAAGAGUAUGUGUUCGAGCCAGAGGUAGAAGAAGAUGAAGAGUCUGGGAUGAACCUGGAUGUUCGUCAGUGGCAUUAGUACCAGGAACUAAAGACAGUACCUUGGACUAUUCCUGGUCACUGGGGCUAAGAACCAGAAGCCGACAGUACCAGGAACUAUGGUCAGCUCAGGAACGUCUUCCAACGACUCAGGUCUUUGGAGGUCCCCAGUCUCUUGAGUCCGUCCAGGGGCAGCAGAUCGGCCGAGUCCUUGUGGGUGAACUGCGUGGCCUGUUUCAGACGCCUCUGCUGGUGCAGGAUGGCUUUGUCCCUGAUGGCCAG